GAGGGUAUAGCUCAGUGGUAGAGUGCAUGCUUAGCAUGCACAAGGUCCUGGGUUCAAUACUCAGCACCUCCU
rnacentral:tRNA from 1 species